GGCCUGGUUUAGGGGUGAGGGUAACAGGUUAGGGUAACAGGUUAGGGCCUGGUUUAGGGGUGAGGGUAACAGGUUAGGGUAACAGGUUAGGGCCUGGUUUAGGGGUGAGGGUAACAGGUUAGGGUAACAGGUUAAGGUCUGGUUUAGGGGUGAGGGUAACAGGUUAGGGCCUGGUUUAGGGGUGAGGGUAAUAGGUUAGGCCCGGUUUAGGGGUGAGGGUAACAGGUUAGGGUAACAGGUUAGGGCCUGGUUUAGGGGUGAGGGUAACAGGUUAGGGCCUGGUUUAGGGGUGAGGGUAACAGGUUAGGGCCUGGUUUAGGGGUGAGGGUAACAGGUUAGGGUCUGGUUUAGGGGUGAGGGUAACAGGUUAGGGCCUGGUUUAGGGGUGAGGGUAACAGGUUAGGGCCUGGUUUAGGGGUGAGGGUAACAGGUUAGGGUAACAGGUUAGGGCCUGGUUUAGGGGUGAGGGUAACAGGUUAGGGUAACAGGUUAGGGCCUGGUUUAGGGGUGAGGGUAACAGGUUAGGGUAACAGGUUAGGGUCUGGUUUAGGGGUGAGGGUAACAGGUUAGGGUCUGGUUUAGGGGUGAGGGUAACAGGUUAGGGUAACAGGUUAGGGCCUGGUUUAGGGGUGAGGGUAACAGGUUAGGGUAACAGGUUAGGGCCUGGUUUAGGGGUGAGGGUAACAGGUUAGGGCCUGGUUUAGGGGUGAGGGUAACAGGUUAGGGUAACAGGUUAGGGCCUGGUUUAGGGGUGAGGGUAACAGGUUAGGGUAACAGGUUAGGGCCUGGUUUAGGGGUGAGGGUAACAGGUUAGGGCCUGGUUUAGGGGUUAGGGUAACAGGUUAGGGUAACAGGUUAGGGCCUGGUUUAGGGGUGAGGGUAACAGGUUAGGGUCUGGUUUAGGGGUGAGGGUAACAGGUUAGGGUAACAGGUUAGGGCCUGGUUUAGGGGUGAGGGUAACAGGUUAGGGUAACAGGUUAGGGCCUGCUUUAGGGGUGAGGGUAACAGGUUAGGGCCUGGUUUAGGGGUGAGGGUAACAGGUUAGGGCCUGGUUUAAGGAGGAGGGUAACAGGUUAGGGUAGCAGGUUAGGGCCUGGUUUAGGGGUGAGGGUAACAGGUUAGGGUAACAGGUUAGGGCCUGGUUUAGGGGUGAGGGUAACAGGUUAGGGCCUGGUUUAGGGGUGAGGGUAACAGGUUAGGGUAACAGGUUAGGGCCUGGUUUAGGGGUGAGGGUAACAGGUUAGGGUAACAGGAUAGGGUCUGGUUUAGGGGUGAGGGUAACAGGUUAGGGUAACAGGUUAGGGUAACAGGUGAGGGUAACAGGUUAGGGUAACAGGUUAGGGUAACAGGUGAGGGCAACAGGUUAGGGUAACAGGUUAGGGUAACAGGUGAGGGUAACAGGUGAGGGUAACAGGUGAGGGUAACAGGUUAGGGUAACAGGUUAGGGCCUGGUUUAGGGGUGAGGGUAACAGGUUAGGGUAACAGGUUAGGGCCUGGUUUAGGGGUGAGGGUAACAGGUUAGGGUAACAGGUUAGGGUAACAGGUUAGGGCCUGGUUUAGGGGUGAGGGUAACAGGUUAGGGCCUGGUUUAGGGGUGAGGGUAACAGGUUAGGGUAACAGGUUAGGGUAACAGGUUA